CCUCCUUCCCCUCUAGCCAGACCUCGUCACCGCCCCUGCCCUCACAACUACAAUUCCCAGAGGCCCGUGCGCUCGGAGACAUGCGCAGAAACGCGCGCCCUGCCCCAUAUUUUCCCGCGGAUUUUAUGUAGCUGGAACUAGCGCGGGAAAGUCGCCGCCGCCGCCUCCUGCCCGCGGGAGCCAAGUUGAGCGCGGCCCCCUUCGGCGGAUGCAGCGGGGAGUGAGGUGGCCUCUCCAGAGGGGGGCGCAGGGCUGCUCUGUCUCUGCGGAAAAGCCUCCCGCCGGCCGGCGCCAUCUUCGCUGAUCGGGGUAACAGAGGGUUUGGUUCCGUGAGGCAGCAGCCCUCCCCAUUCAAGAUGGCGCCGGCUGGGUGAUUGACAUGCCUCGUCACGUGGGCAGUGGCGGGGAGCCCCUCUCUCCCCGCACGCGAGCUCUAUGGUGCAGUGCAGCCGGCCACACAGGCGGCGGGGGCGCGGGACGGCGCCUCAGCGGGGUCUCUCGUGCCUCAGCCGAGGGGCGUCGCUUCAGCUGCGGCCUUACAGGACGGGAGCUCGGCUCGCCUGCCGGGUCGGGCGUUCCCCGCCCUGCCGCGGGGCUCUGCCGGGGGGGGGGGGGAGACCCGAGCCCUGCCUGGCAGCGCGGAUUCGCCGGCCCGGGCAGCCGGGGAGGAGGCGGGCAGCGGCGGCAGGGCAGUGCCGGGCAGGCGUAGGCAGCACGGCCGGUGGGACGCAGCUCCCGGCCCAGCGGGCCCGGACAAGACCGUGGGCGGGGGGGGCUCGGCUCUCGCCCCGCCCCGCUGCGGUGGCAGCUCGCAGCUCAGCCCGCGCUGGGGGCCGCAGGCGGCUGCAGUGUCGCUACUGCGCGGCGCGCUCAGGUCACGCCAGGAACAGGGCAAAGCCGAGCAGGGAGCUGGGCGGGGUUUCUCUCUGCUCGCCACAGCCGGGCCAGGAGAGUCUGGCUAAUGUCUGCGGCACAUCGAGGAUCAUCAAAGGACCCAGAACCCUGGUAUCUGCUUUUGCUUCCGUGUAAUUUCAUGUCUUGCCCAACGUGCCUGUCUGCUUAUUUUCCUCUUCAGGACGGGUCGGGUGCACCAUGGCCCUGGCUGAGGUAGUAGUUUGUGCUGUUGGUCGGGUUGUGACAUUGCCCGCUGUGGAGAUAACUGCGCAAGCUACUGCCUUGCUAGUGCUGGUGAUGAUCAGCUACAGAGGAAGACAAUGACAAUGGGAAUCCCCUUUGUUUUCUCGGGAUUGCAUGCUGAUGGGUAGCAAACAAUUCUUCCUCCGCCGCCUUCUGCAGAAAUUGAGCCUUUCCUUGGCUACUGAAAUGAGCAGCACUGGCAGCACUGGAAGAACCCCAGCACUAUACGUCAUAGACAAGACUUCAAAACACCAAACCAAAAAGACACUGAAACAAAAGUGCUGAGGCAAAGCUAGUGAAGCAUCAAAGAGAAGGGCCAAGAAACAGGAUCUUUAAUAACUCCAUUCAUUUGAAGAAGUGGAUCGUGCCCAUAAAAGCUCAUGAUACCAACUACAUGUUUUAUUAGUCUCUGUUAGUCCCCCUCCUCUGUGAGGGGGCCCUCACCCAGUGUCUCUCACCCGCAAGUUAGUUGUACGUCCUAAGUGUCCACCUAUUGUCCUUGGUGCACUUUCCUUUAGUAGUUCAUGGCCCCCCCCCCGUGCAGGGAGGGUAAGGAGACCUGGGCCCUCCCUCUCUCUGGGUCUCAGCCCAAGACCCUACAAACAAGGGCAAUGGCCUCCUGUUCAGUCGGUGGGGACGUCUCUGAAACUCACCAACCUGCGGGUAUCUCUCCACCCUGUCCUGGGCCACUUCCUGCUGUAAGGCAGAAAUAUCAAGAUGCAGAUUUAUUUGAAUAAGUGCAAAGGUCUAAUGUAAGUCUAAAACUCCAUUUUGAGUUUAGAAUGUCUUUGGUACCUUCCAUUAAAGUCCAACGUUCUGUCACGUCCACAGGUGACUGUUAAAGUUUAAAACAUAAUUCACCUGUUAGUUGCCAUUUACAUAAUAAAUAUUCAUAAGCAUUCCCAAUAUCCAAUCAGUUUGUACCAUGCCCAAGGUGCAUCAUUUGGCAUCCAAUCAUUUUAAAACCUUAUAGUUCAUGCAUAUUCAUGAGCGGAGGAUAUAAAAGCCCUUCCCUAGCAUCAGUUCGUUCUGGUCGUCGGGCUUAACCCGGGAUCAGGGUGUCGCUCGUUCGUCGGGAAUAAGUUUAGAUGAGCGAAAGAGAGUGAAAGAGGUCUUGUACAGCCUAUAAUGCUUAUAAUGGAACUCUAGGUAUCUUUCUUUUCUUCAAGGAGUCUGAUGGAAGGUCAGUUCUCCUAAUUAGAUUAUUUUAGUUUAGGUAAGGUUAGAUAGGUAGAUCUCGUCAUCGUGUCUGUACGUCAGGCUGCGUCGGUCCACGCAUGUCGGCCGUCGUCGAGUCUGUACGUCGGGUGCGUCGAGAUUAGUAUAGGGUUUUUAUUUUAGGUUAAGGUUAGGACAGGAUUAGGAUAGAGUCUAGCUUCCAUCGCCUGUUCCGGUCGCUACCGAAGCGCGAGAAGAGGAUCCGGAGACCACCUUCCGUGAAGCCUCUGAACCGACCGUCACCGAACUCAACCUGUACUUCGAGGGAUCACCUUGGUUGUUCCUCUCCUGCGGCUUCCAAUUGGCCAAAGGAUUGUAGGUCGCCAAGCGACAGGAUCAUCCGACAAGGGACACCUGGUAGUUCCUCCCUGAAGGCUUUCAAUUAGCCCGAGGGUCGUAGGUCGCCAGCAUCACAUCAAUCGUCUCCGUCGCCGCAGACUCUGUGUAGGUAUAGGGAUCUUAAGGGACUUCCCCUCCUGGUCCAUGUAGUGUAAAGGGGACUGCCCCCUUGUAUGUUGUUUUGAGGUAUUGUGUUGACAAAUUUUCUAUCUGUUCAUAAUAUAGU